rnacentral:rRNA from 1 species
CGAAAGCCUGACGGAGCAAGACCGCGUGAGGGAGGAAGGCUCUUGGGUUGUAAACCUCUUUUCUCAGGGAAGAAGCUCUGACGGUACCUGAGGAAUCAGCCUCGGCUAACUCCGUGCCAGCGGCCGCGGUAAUACGGAGGAGGCAAGCGUUAUCCGGAAUUAUUGGACGUAAAGCGUCCGCAGGUGGCGAUUCAAGUCUGCUGUCAAAGCACGGGGCUUAACUCUGGUCAGGCAGUGGAAACUACAUAGCUAGAGUUCGGUAGGGGCAAAGGGAAUUCCCGGUGUAGCGGUGAAAUGCGUAGAGAUCGGGAAGAACAUCGGUGGCGAAAGCGCUUUGCUAGACCGAAACUGACACUCAGGGACGAAAGCUAGGGGAGCG